UGAACGAAGAUAGCGCAGCUGAGCACCUCU
rnacentral:piRNA from 1 species